rnacentral:lncRNA from 1 species
GUGAAAACAGUUUGUGAGUUCAUAGAGUCAAUACCUAACUGUGCGCCGUAUGUUGAGAAAUUCAGAUCAGAACACGUCAAUGGGGCUGCCUUAUUAGAACUCGACAAAAAGGAUCUAAAAGAAUUUUUCGAGAUGCCUUUAGGAUUAGCCGUCAACGUUUGUUCGCAUUUGAAGAAGUAUGAAGAAAAAAAUAAAUGAGACACAUUUACGCAUUCUAUAUUUGUACAUACGAAUCUUGUAGAUUUGUAUCAUAGUUUAUCGUGGUUAAAAAAAAGACAGACUUUGUGUUUCAUUCGUUUUGUAUUUGACCCUUUAUAUGAAAAGAAGUUGGAAUCAUCAAAUAAAAGAAUGAAAAUUCAUGUCUAAAA